rnacentral:lncRNA from 1 species
GUUCGUGCAAGCAUUAGGACAAAAAUUGUUCAGAUCUUUUGGUUUCAAAACCUAAAAGCACACAGAGGGACGUAUGAUAUCAACAUGGAUAUAUGAUGGUUUUAAUGGAAAGACACUAAGAGUAUUUACCUGGCUUUUUGAAUGAAUAUCCAUCAUCUCCAAUGAAAUAGAACUGUUUUGGAACACUUUUAAAAGUAUUUUUUAAAGUAUGUAUUUCAGAUUUUAUAAUUCUGCCUACUCAAAUACAGAUGUGGUGGGUACAAAUGUGAGUCACAUACUUAAGUGUGUACAAGAGUGACUUUGAUUCUUUUUAUAAUCAAACUUAAUUUUUCUCACACCACCCUAUUUGGUCUGACUCAGGAAUUUAAUUUAGUCCCUUCCAGAAUCUGCCUGCAAUAUGGGAAACCUGGGUUUGAUCCCUAGGUUGGGAAGAUUUCUGGAGAAAUGAAAGUGAUCAGCUACCCACUCCAGUAUUCUGGCCUGGAGAAUUCCAUGAACUAUGUCCAUGGGGUCACAAAGAGUUGGACAUGACUGAGCGACUUUUACUCACACAGUCACAGGGGUUGGAGAAGGAAGAUUCCUACUUUUACUUUGCCUAGAGUUGUGGGAAUUUCAUAGCAGCAAAUGCUUGCUCCUGACCAACUAUGGUGCUUAGGCAGUGUUUAGUAGCUGAGCAGUUGCCAGAGCCAGACACAAUCUACCUACUAACAAACUCUUAAAGUAGGAAUGACAGUCAGUGGGCGGGCAUUUCCACAACCCAUCUGGAGAAGAAAGAAAAUAGGAGGCAACAGUCUUACUUUUGCAAAAUUUUGACCUCUGCCUUGAAAAAGCAUCCUUAUAUAUAAAAAUCACAUACAGAAUUGCCUGGACUGUCUAAAACAUUGUCAAGAUUCAGAAACUAAGUAACAUGGAAGUACUAAAAAUAGUUAUAGUUAACUCACAAAGGCCCCUGUGUCUCUUGUUUUGAGUGUAUUACUCUAACUUUACAUUUGAUUUUAAGUGUAUUAAUUGGUAUGGUUGUUGGAUUUUAAAGUAGCCCCUGUGAUCUCUAUCUCCUGGUAACUUGGCCUUGUAUAAUUCCUUCCCCCUUGAAUUUGGACAGGACAAGUGACUUGCUUCUAACUAGUAGAACAUGACUAAGGUGUUAGGAUAUGUUUCCUGUGAUUAUGUUAUGUAAGAUUCCAUCUUGCUAGAAGAUUUAAUUUAAGAGUCUUACUCUCCUUUUUGCUGGCUUUGAAGAAGCGAGCCAUGGUGAUUCCUACAGACAGGAAAUGCUGCAGACCAGCUGCUAACAGCCUCUAAGCUCAGCAGUGGACCUUUCCCUAGAGAGCCACCAGAUGAGAACCCAACCCUGGCUGGCACUUUGCAGUCUUUCAGAGGACCCAGCUAAGGCAUGCCCAGACCUCUGACCUAUAAAAAUUGUGAGAUAAUGGAUGUGUAUUGUUUUUAGCCUUUAAUUUUGUAAUAGUUUGUUACAGAGCAUAGCAAACUAACACAGUUUGUUUCUUAAGCUGUAAGAGAGAGGUAUUGCUACAUGAAUCAGGUAUUGAUAGCAACGAGAAACAAUUGACAAAUAGUAUAAUUAAACAAUAAGUGGUGUUCAUAGUUAUCACUCUGAGCCCACAAGCAGAAGAUAUAUCAUGUAAAAUCCAUUCUGUCAAGAAGGUAGAGGUCUACGUAAUACAGACAUGAAAAAAUUCAGAAUCAUUAAUGUAGCAUUAGGUAAUGUUUGACCAUGGAUCUUGGAAUUAUUUGAGAUUUGAUAUUUAGUGUAGGUUUAAUUCAAAGGGAUCAUAAAAUAAAUAUCUAUGAUCAAAGAGUUACAUAUGCCUUUCUCACAAUGUGAUAUGUCAGAAUGCUUAUAGAAUCUGAAGUGAGAAUUUUAACAUGAAUAAAUACUUGAGCUAAAAAUUCAAGUUUCACUUACUUCCAUGUAACCUGUGGACAAUUUGGCCUUUGUUUCCAAGAAGGAAAGGUACCAGGAAUUGGAAG